GCUUGUUUUGUUUGUUCCGUCUAAUGUGACCGCAUACGCCCUCUAUAAUGGUAAACACAAACAAAACUGGGGAGAGAAAACACUGCAAAGUAAUUACUGCUUUUGAGAGACAAUGAUAUUUUAUUUUUUGUGUAAACUUUUUUGUUGCUUUACAAUCCUUUACCAUUUUAUAUGCAGCUUGUGUCUAGCCUUUGUCUGAGGGAAAGGGUUAAUUACACAAUAUGGCAGGAGAAAGCUGCAGGUUCCUUGGAGAGGAAUGCUGGUUAUGUUGCCCAAGGUACACCAGCUCAUUCCCCAGGCAUGUUGUCACUAUGCAUUCCACGUCUUGUCUCCACUUGAUCAAAGUGCAUCUCUUAGAACUGGGAUGUGCAGUUAAUGUCUGCAUUACUGUAAUGUUUGUAGUCAGGAAGUAAAGUUAGGCAAAAAAGAGUUAAUUAAUACAACAGAGUGGGAGGAUCAGAAUUUGAUAUUCUUUCACUCAAACAAUAUUUGACUUAAUGAUGUCAUUGAAUAUCCUGUGAUUUUUUUCCC